ACAUCACAUCCAUGUUGACCGCAGAAAAAAGAGAGGACUUAGUGCUACUGUAGUUAGCAAGUGUCCGUUUGAAAAAAGAGUGUUGUGGAAGCACAUAAGGUUGAUGCCAAGUUAAACUUAAGCAAUACGCACCAUGCAGAUAUAUUUUGGUCCAUUUUCAUUCUUUAAACAAAAGCCUUCCUACCAAAUACCACUGCUAACAAUCCCUCUAAUUCAGCUACAAACUCAACAAGACUAUUCCUGCAAAAACUACUACACGGUUUCAGAGAACUAAAAAAAUGACAAACAAACACACAUUCAGGUUAACUCAGGUGAAAAGAACUCUCUGCAAAAUCCAGCUUCACCAGGGACUUCUCGACCUAAAAAUAAUCAAAAGAGGAACUAUUUGUACUUAAUGAACCCAUCUCUAGCAGUACACUUGCAAUUAGGAUAUUGGGAAAACAAAAUCAAAACGAAAGUAAGGUGCAGAUCCAAAAAAAACAAUGCGUGAGCUUACUCUGAAUAAACAUCAUGCUUACAUGCGUCAGGUUUUGGAUGGAUUUAAAAUUCGAAAUCAAAAGCUAGUCUCACCUCUAGCUGCUUAGGUUAGUACAACAAUGGUCUCACCUUUUUUGCAUGACUAAUGUCGGACAUGCAACUGUCUCCCUUCUCCUCGUCGCCCCCUCCUCCUGACAAAACAAAGGCGAGUUGCAACCAGGUUAGAAAACAUGCAUAUGUGGUUGGGGGCGUCGCUUGCAGUUACAUGGCUAGCGUUAAACAUGUAACUGCCCCCAUCUCCCUGCCACCCCUCUGACAAAACAAUACCUAGUCGCAACCAUGUUGGAAGACAUGCAAUUGCAAUCGAGGGUGAUGCUUGCAGUUGCAUAACUAGUGUCGGACAUGCAACUAUCCCCCCUCUCACCAUCGUCCCCUCCAACAAAACCCAGUUGCAACCAUGUUGGAAGACAUGUAGUUGUAGUCAGAAGCGACACUUGCAGUUGCAUGCCUAGUGUCAGAGAUGCAACUUACACAUUCCAUCAAAACAAAAAGGCGUUGCGACUACAUUGGAAGGCAUGCAGUUGCAGUCCGGGGUUGACAAUUGCAGUUGGAUGCCUAGAGUCGAACAUGCAACUCCCACUUUCCCACAAAACAAAAAGACCAGUUGCGAUCACGUUGGAGAGUUGCGACCGUGGGUAAUAAUCNNNNNNNNNNNNNNNNNNNNNNNNNNNNNNNNNNNNNNNNNNNNNNNNNNNNNNNNNNNNNNNNNNNNNNNNNNNNNNNNNNNNNNNNNNNNNNNNNNNNNNNNNNNNNNNNNNNNNNNNNNNNNNNNNNNNNNNNNNNNNNNNNNNNNNNNNNNNNNNNNNNNNNNNNNNNNNNNNNNNNNNNNNNNNNNNNNNNNNNNNNNNNNNNNNNNNNNNNNNNNNNNNNNNCACUUGCAGUUGCAAGCCUACUGUUGGACAUGCAAUUGCAACCAUGUUGGAAGGCAUGCAUUUGCAGUCGGGCUGACAAUUUCUAUUGCAUGCCUACAUGGAACUCCCACCUCCCCACAAACAAAAAGGACCAGUUGCAAGGCAUGCAGUAGUAGUCCAUGGUGGCAAUUGCAAUUGGAUGCCUAGGAUCAUACAUGCGACUCCCACCACCCCAUAAUACAAAAAGACUAGUUGCGACCAUGUUGGGAGAGUUGCAGUCGGAGGUAAUGUUGUAGUUGCAUGCUUAGUACUCGACUUGUAACCCCCCCCCCCGACUUGCAACUACCUCACCCCCGCCGCCCUCCUACAAAAACACAAGACUAGUUGUGGUUGGUAGGGACACAUGCAAAUGCACUUGGGGUCGACACCUACAGUUGCAAGCCUACUGCCGAACAUGCAGUUGCAACCAUGUUGGAAAGCAUGUAGUUGCAUGCCUAAUAUUGGACAUGCAACUCCCACCUUCCAACAAAACAAAAUAACCAGUUGCAACCAUGUUGGAAGGCAUGCAGUUGCAGUCCGGUGGUGACAGUUGCAAUUGCAUGCCUAGUAUCAAACUUGCAACUCCCACCUUCCCACAAACAAAUAGACUAGUGGCGACCAUGUUGGGAGAUUUUAGAUGCAAUCGGGGGUGACAGUGGCAGUUGCAUGCCUAGUACUGGACUUGCAACUACCUCACCCCCGCCGCCCUCCAACAAAAAUGCAAGGCCGGUUCGUGUUGGUAGGGAGACAUGCAAAUGCAGUUGGGGGCAACACUUGCAGUUGAAAGCAUACUGUCGGACAUGCAGUUGCAAACAUGUUGGAAGGCAUGCAGUUGCGAGGUGGGGGUGACAGUUACAGUUGCAUGCCUAGUAUCAGACAUGCAACUCCCACCUUCCAACAAAACAAAAGGACUAGUUGCGACCACUUUGAAAGGCGUGCAGUUCGCAGUCAGGGGUGACGACUACAGUUGCAUGCCUAGUAUGACACAUGCAACUCCUACUUUCCAACAAAACAAAAAGACUAGUUGCAACAACAUUAGCAGUGGUGCAAUUGCAGUUGCGGGUGACAGUUGCAGUUGCAUGCCUAGCACUACACUUGCAAUUACCCCCUCCCCCGACUUGCAACUAACUCACCUCCAAUCUCUCUUUCCCCCUCCAACAGAAACACAAAGCCGGUUGCAGUCGGUAGGGAGACAUGCAGUAAUAGUUGGGCGCGACACCUGUAGUUGCAAGCUACUAUCGGACAUGCGGUUGCAGUCAUGGGUGACAGUUGCAUGCCUAGUAUCGGACAUGCAACUACCCCCCAUUUGCAACUACCUCACCCCCUCUCUCCUCCACCACCCUACGACAAAAACACAUGGCCUAUUCUGGUCGGUAGGAAGAUAUGCAAUUACAGUUGGGCAUGAGACUUGUAGUUGCAAGCCAACUAACGGACAUGCGGUUGUAGUCGAUGGUCAUAGUUGUAGUUGCAUGCCCAGUAUCGGUCAUGCAAUUCCCCAAAAAAACUAGUUGCAUCCCUUGUUGGAAGGCAUGCAAUUGCAGUUGGGUUGUGACCAUUGCAAGUGCAUGCCUACUACUGGACAUGCAAAUGCCCUCCUCCUCAGACUUACAACUACCCUACUCCUCACCCUAUGACAAGAAAGGCCUGGGAAAAUACAACAAAAACCUACAAAAGCCCCUAGCUGUGGGUCGAGGGUUGAGUUGGCAUUGGGUCGGGCCCCCAAGGGUGCAAGUGCAACUACAAAAUCCCGGGGAAAAGCUCCCGGGUUGUGAGUCAAGCGUUGACUAGCAACUUGGGCACCUACAAAAUCCUAGGAAAAAGCUCCCAGGAUGUGAGUCAAAAGGUUGACUUGCAACUCAGGCUACUACAGAAAUGUAUGAAAAAGCCCCUAGUUGUGAGUCGAGGGGUGACUUGCAAAUUAGGGGCAACUACAAAAACCUAUGAAAAAAAUCCUAGUUGUGAGUCAAGGGUUGACUUGCAACUAGGGCAGUUACAAAACCUAUGAAAAGUCUCCCUAGGAGCAUGUCGAUACUUGACAUGCAACUAGGCCGGGGGCUUGGGGUGCAACUACAAAAGCCUACGAAAGAGUCUCAACUAUGAGUCAAGGGUUGACUUCCAACUAGUUGGCAGUCAAGCGUUGACUAGCAACUUGGGCACCUACAAAAUCCUAGGAAAAAGCUCCCAGGAUGUGAGUCAAAAGGUUGACUUGCAACUCAGGCUACUACAGAAAUGUAUGAAAAAGCCCCUAGUUGUGAGUCGAGGGGUGACUUGCAAAUUAGGGGCAACUACAAAAACCUAUGAAAAAAAUCCUAGUUGUGAGUCAAGGGUUGACUUGCAACUAGGGCAGUUACAAAACCUAUGAAAAGUCUUCCUAGGAGCAUGUCGAUACUUGACAUGCAACUAGGUCGGGGGCUUGGGGUGCAACUACAAAAGCCUACGAAAAAGUCUCAACUGUGAGUCAAGGGUUGACUUCCAACUGCCCCCCCCCCCCACAAACUAUGAAAAAAGCCUAGUUGAGUGCCAAUAGUUGACAUGCAACUGGGAGCAGGGUCCCAGGGUGCAACUACAAAACUACAAAAAGCCCCAAAUUAAGAGUCGAGGGUUGAACUGUAAGACAAUUAUGAGUGUUCUAUCAAACUGUCAUUCCUAAAAAAACCUCUCCAGGGAAAAAGAAUGUAAAAUGUGUAUUAUAACAAAAAAACAUAGUAAAAAAUCUAACAAAAACAAGUAAAACAAUUUCAGAUUUUUACUUGAAGUAUACCGAAAACAAAAAAGAAAAGCUGAAAACUGGAAAACAUGUACAUCCAUACUUGAAAAAAUGCAGUUCAGAGUUACAAAAACUAAAAACCCUACAAAAAGCUUAAAGUUCAUAUUUUCAGUUCAGAUUUGAAUUAUGUAUUUGGUUUGCCACAAACGUCACCCUCGCUCCCAUCAUGUUGUUGAGACGGACCCUUUCAUUGCAUGGCACAACCUAUUUUGGUUGAACACAAAAAAGCAAAGAACAAAAGUUAGUAGUGGUGUCAUGACAAAGACUAAUAUAAAAAGAAACAAAGGAUAAAAAAUGAGAAAAUAUAUUAAAAAAAAGAAGCUAGUGAGUUACCCCUGCGUUUUUGAAGUGCUCCUAUACAUACAUGCUGAAACCGCUUCCCUCACUCUCAUAGUUGCAAUGGUUUAAACAAACUCCACAAGCCAUCUCCUGUGCGCAUAAAAAAGAAGCAAAAAGGAAAAUAAUUAAAUGGGUAAUUCACUAACAACACAAAUACGAAAAAAAAAUAAAAAACUGGAUUCAGAAAAGCAUAACUAGAAAAUGAAUAAUUGCAAAACAUCUAGAUUUCAGCAUUUAUUCCUGUAGGUUUAUGACUGUGUGAACCCAAACCCUGCUUACCAGAUGCUAAGUGCCAUUAUUUACACAACAAAAAAGAACUACUCCUGCCCCUAAUUAAUCUAAUGCGCCAUUAUUUGCUCGCACAUGCCCCUAGUAGCAGUGGUGACAAACUACUAGGGGCAUGUGCCAGCAAAUAUCCCUGCUGUAUUAGCACUCAGCAGAAACAACAGCGGGAUCAAGUUGUCAAAAAAAAGAAUGACUAGUAGAGGUUAUAUCCUAACAAAAGGUCAACUUAAGCACCCUAAAAACACAUGCUCCUCCUGUAUAGAAGCGUGGAAGAACGGGCUUAAUUAAUAUUUGUUCUCCUGCAAACGAAGUCCCCCUGAUUUAAUGACUCUCAAAAAGUCAUAGCAUAAAAAUAGCAGUACUGGCAGUACUUUUGCUCAAUACUAUUCCAGGUCUUCUCGGCCAAAGAUCCUAAUUAAUCUCUAAGUACCUACAAAGCAAAAAAAGAUUAGUAGUACUCGUAGUACUAAUUAUGGUCCUACACAUGUAUAGAUCAAUCAGGUCAGCUCUAGUGCUGUUGAGCUUUUGCACCUGCACAAAACUGUAAAAAACCAGUACCACACCAGAAAAAUGGGUUUGAGUAAAAAUAUGAAAAUUUAAAAAUCAACAUGCCACUGCUAGUGAUGGGUUCAGUAAUCAUUAUCUUGAUUCCAUAGAAAAAAUUAGAGCAUGGUACUGAUUCUAGGGUUCAGCAAAAUCUGAAAAACAAAAAAAAUGAUACUCCUAGAAAAUACGUUCAGUAAUCAUUCUCUUUGACUCCUUAGAAAGAUUUGAACAUGCUACUGAUUAAUAGGGUUUCAGCAAAAAUCUGAAAAAACAAAAAAAUACAAGCCCACUCCUAGUGAUAGGUUCAGUAAUAAUCUCUUGUUUCCAGAGAAUGGCUUCAAAACAAGCUACUGAUUAAUAGUCUGGAGGCCUGCGCUGAAUAUGCCCAAACCAUCUCAAACGAUGUUGGACAAGCUUCUCCUCAAUUGGUGCUACCCCAACUCUAUCUCGUAUAUCAUCAUUCCGGACUCGAUCCUUCCUCGUGUGGCCACACAUCCAUCUCAACAUACGCAUCUCCGCCACACCUAACUGUUGAACAUGUCGCCUUUUAGUCGGCCAACACUCCGCGCCAUACAACAUUGCGGGUCGAACCGCCGUCCUGUAGAACUUGCCUUUUAGCUUUUGUGGCACUCUCUUGUCACAGAGAAUGCCAGAAGCUUGGCGCCACUUCAUCCAUCCGGCUUUGAUUCGAUGGUUCACAUCUUCAUCAAUACCCCCAUCCUCCUGCAACAUUGACCCCAAAUACCGAAAGGUGUCCUUCCGAGGUACCACCUGGCCAUCAAGGCUAACCUUCUCCUCCUCACAGCUAGUAGUACUGAAACCACACAUCAUGUACUCGGUUUUAGUUCUACUAAGCCUAAACCCUUUCGAUUCCAAGGUUUGUCUCCAUAACUCUAACUUCCUAUUUACCCCCGUCCGACUAUCGUCAACUAGCACCACAUCAUCCGCAAAGAGCAUACACCAUGGGAUAUCUCCUUGUAUACCCCUUGUGACCUCAUCCAUCACCAAUGCAAAAAGAUAAGGGCUCAAAGCUGACCCCUGAUGCAGUCCUAUCUUAAUAGGGAAGUCAUUGGUGUCGACAUCACUUGUUCGAACACUUGUCACAACAUUAUUGUACAUGUCCUUGAUGAGGGUAAUGUACUUUGCUGGGACUUUGUGUUUCUCCAAGGCCCACCACAUGACAUUCCGCGGUAUCUUAUCAUAGGCCUUCUCCAAGUCAAUGAACACCAUAUGCAAGUCCUUCUUAUGCUCCCUAUAUCUCUCCAUAAGUUGUCGUACCAAGAAAAUGGCUUCCAUGGUCGACCUCCCAGGCAUGAAACCAAACUGAUUUUUGGUCACGCUUGUCAUUCUUCUUAAGCGGUGCUCAAUGACUCUCUCCCAUAGCUUCAUUGUAUGGCUCAUCAGCUUAAUUCCACGGUAAUUAGUACAACUCUGAACAUCCCCCUUGUUCUUGAAGAUUGGUACUAAUAUACUCCGUUUCCAUUCUUCUGGCAUCUUGUUUGCCCGAAAAAUGAGGUUGAAAAGCUUGGUUAGCCAUACUAUCGCUAUGUCCCCGAGACCUUUUCACACCUCAAUGGGGAUACAAUCAGGGCCCAUCGCCUUGCCUCCUUUCAUCCUUUUUAAAGCCUCCUUCACCUCAGACUCCUGGAUGCGCCGCACAAAACGCAUGCUGGUCUCAUCAAAUGAGUCAUUCAGUUCAAUGGUAGAACUCUCAUUCUCCCCAUUGAACAGCUUGUCGAAGUACUCCCGCCAUCUAUGCUUAAUCUUUUCGUCCUUCACCAAGAGUUGGCCUGCUCCGUCCUUGAUGCAUUUGACUUGGCCAAUAUCCCUCGUCUUCCUCUCCCGGAUCUUAGCCAUCUUAUAGAUGUCCCUUUCACCUUCCUUCGUGCCUAACCGUUGGUAGAGGUCCUCAUAUGCCCGACCCCUUGCUUCACCAACAUGCUACUGAUUAAUAGGGUGUCAGCAAAAUCUGAAAAAAAAAACAUGUCACUCCUAGUGAUAGGUUCAGUAUUAAUCCUCUUGUUUCCACAUAAUGAUUUCAACAUGCUACUGAUUGCACAAGGGUUUCGGCAAUCUGAAAAAAAAAAUCAAACAAAAAAUGGACGCACUACAUACCACUGCUUGAAGAAAAAGGACACGAAAAAAGGACUAAAUCUGGGAGGGAUUCCAUGCUUCAAGCUAGUAAUCUAGACUUGAUCCAAACAAAAAAUGGAACCCAAUCCCCUCAGAUCUGAAGCAGAGCGCCAACAAAGAAACAAAAAAAUUGGAGGAAAGAGGGUAACACUUACUCCACUAGCAGCAUCGCCCAGGCUCUCGCUGGCCGUUCAGGAGCAAAGGCGAUUUCUUUCGUUCCACCGCAGAGAUCUUUGGCUUUUUUGACAGAGAAAGAACAGAGAGAUAGAGGAAGAAAUGGA
rnacentral:lncRNA from 1 species